rnacentral:tRNA from 1 species
GGGCGAUUAGCUCAAUUGGCAGAGCAAUUCACUUACAUUGAAUAGGUUGGGGAUUCAAGUUCCUCAUCGCCCA